GCCUGGGUAGCUCAGUUGGUAGAGCAAUGGACUGAAAAUCCAUGUGUCGGCGGUUCAAUUCCGUCUCCAGGCACCA
rnacentral:tRNA from 1 species